rnacentral:rRNA from 1 species
UACGUAGGGUGCAAGCGUUGUCCGGAAUUACUGGGCGUAAAGAGUUCGUAGGCGGUUUGUCGCGUCGUUUUGUGAAAACCAGCAGCUCAACUGCUGGCUUGCAGGCGAUACGGGCAGACUUGAGUACUGCAGGGGAGACUGGAAUUCCUGGUGUAGCGGUGAAAUGCGCAGAGAGUCCGGAAGAACACCGGUGGCGAAGGCGGGUCUCUGGGCCGAUACUGGACGCUGAGGAGCGAAAGCGUGGGGAGCGAACAGG